AGUGGUUAGAGUGGAGGGUCGGCAGGUAGUCUACUGGUUAGAGUGUUGGGCCAGUAACCAGCAGGUAGCCUAGUGGUUAGAGCGUUGGGCCAGUAACCAGCAGGUAGCCUAGUGGUUAGAGCGUUGGGCCAGUAACCAGCAGGUAGCCUAGUGGUUAGAGCGUUGGGCCAGUAACCAGCAGGUAGCCUAGUGGUUAGAGCGUUGGGCCAGUAACCAGCAGGUAGCCUAGUGGUUAGAGCAUUGGGCCAGUAAACAGCAGGUAGCCUAGUGGUUAGAGCGUUGGGCCAGUAACCAGCAGGUAGCCUAGUGGUUAGAGCGUUGGGCCAGUAACCAGCAGGUAGCCUAGUGGUUAGAGCGUUGGGCCAGUAACCAGCAGGUAGCCUAGUGGUUAGAGCAUUGGGCCAGUAACCAGCAGGUAGCCUAGUGGUUAGAGCGUUGGGCCAGUAACCAGCAGGUAGCCUAGUGGUUAGAGCGUUGGGCCAGUAACCAGCAGGUAGCCUAGUGGUUAGAGCAUUGGGCCAGUAACCAGCAGGUAGCCUAGUGGUUAGAGCAUUGGGCCAGUAACCAGCAGGUAGCCUAGUGGUUAGAGCGUUGGGCCAGUAACCAGCAGGUAGCCUAGUGGUUAGAGCGUUGGGCCAGUAACCAGCAGGUAGCCUAGUGGUUAGAGCAUUGGGCCAGUAACCAGCAGGUAGCCUAGUGGUUAGAGCGUUGGGCCAGUAACCAGCAGGUAGUCUAGUGGUUAGAGCGUUGGGCCAGUAACCAGCAG
ensembl:lncRNA